AUAGCAGAACAUCGUUGGCCCAAUCUUACAUUAUGGUUGUAUUAUCGCUGUUGGGUUACCUUUAUUGGGCCAACGGUGGUCCAACAUGGAAUAUUGAUAGUUGGUUAUGUAUAAUGGGGCCAAUGUUGGGCUAACUGUUGGCGUUAUAUCAUUAAACUAUUAUUAUGAGAGAAAACAUUUGUUGGGGGAUUGGUAUCGGCCCCAAGUUGGCCCAAUAUACCAUGAAUCUGGCUGAGCAUCAUGGGCAGACAACAUCCGGGCUACUUGUAAUAUCCGCGCCAUUUUUAAUCUGACACGAACGUAAUGAGACUGAUACCUUGCAUAUCUGCAUCCACUUUUGCUACUGGAGAUUCUAAAAAGACAUUGAGAACACAAUCAAAGAAUGGCUAAGGUAUGCCUAGGACAGGGAUGGGGGAGGAAGAAACGGACAGAGAAGAAAAGAAGGCGGAGGAGGAGACUCGGGAGAGAGAAGAGGAGACUUAGGAGAGGGAUCAGAUGGAAAGUGGCAGUGCCUAACUUUUUUCUGUUAUAUACUGUGACAUACCAGUAGAUCUACCCUUUUCUGUGUCUGUUUGUCGGUAACAAACACGAUGCAGAUGCCAGAAACAUUUUUUUGUGUAAGUAAA